rnacentral:rRNA from 1 species
GAUGAACGCUAGCGACAGGCCUAACACAUGCAAGUCGAGGGGCAGCGGGAGCGAAGCUUGCUUUGCUUGCCGGCGACCGGCGCACGGGUGAGUAACACGUAUGGAACCUGCCCGCCACAGGGGGAUAACCGGGAGAAAUUCCGACUAAUACCCCGUAUGCUCACGGUAGCGCAUGCUACAGAGAGGAAACCGCGAGGGGUGGCGGAUGGCCAUGCGGCGCAUUAGCUAGUUGGCGGGGUAAUGGCCCACCAAGGCGACGAUGCGUAGGGGUUCUGAGAGGAAGGUCCCCCACAUUGGUACUGAGACACGGACCAAACUCCUACGGGAGGCAGCAGUGAGGAAUAUUGGUCAAUGGGCGAGAGCCUGAACCAGCCAAGUCGCGUGAGGGAAGAACGGUCCUAAGGAUUGUAAAACCUCUUUUGUCGGGAACAACGAGUUGCACGAGUGCGACAGUGAGGGUACCCGAAGAAAAAGCAUCGGCUAACUCCGUGCCAGCAGCCGCGGU